CUUAAAGUAAAACAGUUCACUCUUCACUUUGGCAAUGCGAGGCUCUUUAAAACUAUUUCUCCAAGCGGUAAGUGGCGUCUUAUUUCUAGGACCGCUAGCUAUUGGUCAAAGCUGGGGAGGCUGUCAUCAGUGUCCCGCUAACGAGACUUUGUAUUAUAAAAAUCCCAGCCAUAGUUUAGCAAUUCAAACUUUCCCUUGCUGUUGCCCAUCUACAAGGAUCAAAAUUCAGCUUCAUUAUUCCCCUUACAGUCAUGCAUUGGUGUUGUACGACGAAACAAAUCUUUAAAAUAUAAAUUAAAAAGGUGGUGGAUUAAUAUGCCGUCAAGACACAAUUAAAGAGUGCGUGGACAGAUGUGGGAACUUCAGGACCAGACAUUGUGGCUGCGACUCAGGAAGAAAAUGCGUUUCUGCCAUCCGAAGGCAGACUUGCAAUUUAUUUUUAGAAACGCCAAUUGCGGAAAUGGAAAUCAGUUUCGGUGCAGAACAUUCCGACCCAAGGAAUUGCCCAACUGAUUUUUCACGAUGCCACCGAUGCGAAAAUUUUCCGUCAAAUGAAUGCUAUUUGCUUAACGUUUCAAAGAUACAUUAAAAUUGGAUGCAGCGCUGCUGGCUUUCUUGAAUUAUAUAACCCAUCCACGGGAAUCCCUUACUGCCCGGCUUCCUUUACGUCAUUAGACCAUUCGUCCAUUCAAUCUAGCAAAAGGACGUGGUGCAAGCAGUUGGGUCUUGAUGGCACCAAACCUGAAUCAACGACAUUUUCAUCCACAGUGCCAGUUUUUGGAGAAACAACAACUCCUAUAGAAUCUACCCUAUCAAGCCAUCAAACCAGUGAUGAUUUAAAAACGACCACUACUGCUAAUCUUGCAGAUUCAGAUUCUACAGAACCAAGCUCGAACCAAGCAUCAACCAAGUCCUCCAGUUUCAAAUUCAGCAGCACUGAAAUAAUCGUUGGUGGUGGUUUAGCUUUGUUGUUGCUUGUCGUCGGAAUCGCUGCCUGGUGGAUUAUCAAAAGGCGAAAAGCUCCCGCGGAAAUCAAUGAAUUUGAACUUGAGGAGAUUAAUGAACUGUAUGGAGUCUUGCCAAAUAAUAAAAUUAAAAAUGAAGCACUCCCAGAUGACGUCAUGAUUGAAAAUGAUAUGUAUGGUGUCUUGUCAAGUGCAGAAAGAAAAUAGAUAUUUGUAUUUGUUAAUUUGUAAUUAAUUAUUUUUCUUUGCAUUUAAACAUUUUUAACAUAUUCCAAAAAUAUAAUCCAUUAAACACAAUU